rnacentral:rRNA from 1 species
AGUGAACGCCGGCGGUAGGCCUAACACAUGCAAGUCGAACGGCAGCACAGUAAGAGCUUGCUCUUACGGGUGGCGAGUGGCGGACGGGUGAGGAAUACAUCGGAAUCUACUUUUUCGUGGGGGAUAACGUAGGGAAACUUACGCUAAUACCGCAUACGACCUACGGGUGAAAGCAGGGGAUCUUCGGACCUUGCGCGAUUGAAUGAGCCGAUGUCGGAUUAGCUAGUUGGCGGGGUAAAGGCCCACCAAGGCGACGAUCCGUAGCUGGUCUGAGAGGAUGAUCAGCCACACUGGAACUGAGACACGGUCCAGACUCCUACGGGGGGCAGCAGUGGGGAAUAUUGGACAAUGGGCGCAAGCCUGAUCCAGCCAUACCGCGUGGGUGAAGAAGGCCUUCGGGUUGUAAAGCCCUUUUGUUGGGAAAGAAAAGCAGCAGGUUAAUACCCCGCUGUUCUGACGGUACCCAAAGAAUAAGCACCGGCUAACUUCGUG